rnacentral:tRNA from 1 species
GGUAAGGUACCCAAGAGGCUUAAGGGGGGCAGAUUCAUUAGAAUAUGCUAGGCGUUUCAAGCGUGCGUGGGUUCGAAUCCCACCCUUUCCG